rnacentral:lncRNA from 1 species
ACUCUCAUGAUGACAUAGAAGAGAUGCGUCUGAAUCUUUCUGCCAGUGUGUUAAAGUUAUUCUGAUAUUGACUGUAGUUCUGAGCUUUGUCUCUAUCCCACCAAACCACUAACUUCUGGAAAUUACUUGUAGACCAAGAUGGGAGGACUCCGUGUGUGGCUCCGUGAAUAUGAAUGACUUAUCGUGCCUGUCCAGAGUCAGGGAAAGGAGAAACAAUCUUAUUUGAGAAGGGAGGAUAUCACUGCAGUGGUUGUGAAAUCGUGUUUGGAAGCUAGAUUGCUCUAGACCACUAAGCUCUCUUCAUGUGACAAAGAAACUUCCUAAAAUACUAAAAGCUAAAGGAGAUUGUUAUCUAAGCUUGAGAUGGAAGGUUGCCAGCGGAAACUUGGAGGAUCACAGCCAGUCGCCUGGGAUUGACCACAGGGAGUGGCAGAGGCAGAAAGCAAAAGACCAGUUGCAAUUAUCCAGAAUCCUGAAUUGAGCCUGUGUUCCCAGUUCCUAGAAACCCUCAAGGUUAUUGGUUUCCUCCUCGCUUAAUAGACCAGUGGAAGAAAUCUACCUCCAGUUCUAUCUUCACAUGAGCAACUGUUUACAGUUUACAAUAUUACUCUGAAAAUCAGUUCUUUUCAAGUUUUAUCUAACACCCACCAGAAGAAACAGAAGAUUAUGAAAAUGGAAUUUGUCAAAGUUCCUCUCCCAACAAUAUGAUAUUUAAUUUUGCUAACAUUUUUUUUUGAACACUUACUAUAUUGCAGACAAUGGUCUAAGUAAAGCAUUUUAUGUGCAUCCUAUCAUGUCAUCAUCACACAGCCCUGUGAGGUAGAUACUAUUAUUAUUAACCACAUUUCACAUUCAAAAAAACUGAGGCUUAGAGAGACUAAGUAAAUUGUCCAAGGUCACACAGCCAUGAAGUGGCAGAGCUGUGGUUAAAACCUAUGUCUGUCUGAUGUUUAAGAUUUUGCUGUUAGCAUUACUUUGAAAUGACAAUAUGAGGGCAUUUUAUGUAUUUUUUUUGCCCCAAUAUGAUCUGCAGAAACUAUGUAUUUUAAGUACUACAUUUCUUUUAUUUACCAAAUUAUUGUCAGAUAAGAAACCGAAAUAAAAGUUUACAGGGUCUAGGAUUCCUCCAUAAUGAAUGAACUUUGGGGUAUUUCAGUGACAAAUUGGCUUUAACGCGAUCAAAUUCCAUCCUACAAUGAAAGUGUGUUAGUUUGUGGUUUCAAGUUUAAAAACAGCACUGUAUUGUCUUCCAGAAAUAUAUAAAUAGAAAUUCAAGAAGUAUUUCAAUGAAUACAGAUAAAAUUAGUUUUGUUAGAACAUCAAAUAUGUGGGUUUCAUUUCUUAGCUCAGUUUAGAAACUGUAAUUUCAAUUUUUUUUAGCAGCUGUGGUAAAUUUUGAGAUUUGAAAUUUCAUAUAAUAUAAAUCCUCAUUUAUUGAGCAUUUAAAUUAUAUGCCCAACAAUUUACUGUGUACAUUACUUCACUUGUUCUUAACUAUAACUCUACAAAAUAUUAUUGUCCUUGAUUUAUAGAUGAAGAUAUUGAGACUCAGUUAAGUAACUUGCUUGAAAUUCAAAAACGUUAACUGUGGAAGGCAGUAUUUGAACCCAGUGUUCAAAACCCCAUGCUCUUUUUAUUAUAUGACCUUAUUUCCUAUUCAGUCUUCAGAAGAUAUAUUGUCUUAUUAGAUUAUUCUCGUUCUCUAAAUAAGUGACCUUGGGCAACUAUCUUUUUCCCUGGUAUUUUCCCCUGCCUUUAAAACAAUGUGAUCAAACUGGAAGUUUUUCACGAUCUCUCUUAGCCCUAAAGCUCCUUGGUUCUGUAAUUCCACCAAUAGCCCAUUUCAAAAAUAAUUCUACAGUAAUCAGUGGGACUCCUGUUUUUCCCAUCUUUUUUUUUUUUGAAACAGAAAAUUGAAACUUUUAAAUUAGUUUAGUAAAUACAUCUACUAGUUUUUUUCUUUUAUAGUCAUGGUUAUAUUAUUUGGUCCUUCUUAGUUGCAACAUGUUUCCUUGCUGUCAAUUUAUAAUACCUCUCAUCAACAAUAGCCUGAAGAAAUAGAUUUGAAUUGCUUUCCCUAAUUUAUAGCUGGAAAACUAGGCUACGCUGGUAUCUUAAAUUGACUUUCCUGAGGUCACGGGCACUCAGUGCCAAGAGGAGUUGGUACCUACGCAUUUGAAAUUUCUGGAUUUCUGGUCUUACUCUGUACUUAGUCACUCUUUUCUUUCAUUUGGCCCUAUGGUGGGCAAACUACAGCCUACAGGCCAAUUCCAGCCUACCAUCUGUUUUUGUAUGGUCCAUGAACUAAGAAUGGUUAUCACAUUUUAAAAUGGUGGGAAAAAAAGACUAUUUUGUGACAUAAAAAUUAUAUGAAAUCCAAA